rnacentral:lncRNA from 1 species
GACUUGACAAAAUGCCAGAGGAAACUCGAUAGAUCGACAACAACCGGUUCUUACAAGCAGGUGCCACCUGAUUGGCUGCUUUUCAAUUUGCCCAGAAACCAUGGGAUGGUACAAAAGUGGCCGCUUGUGUAUAAAACCUUCUGAUCAGCUAGGGAAUCAGUUCAGUUCUAUUUCUACGCACACUGUAAGUUCAACAGCUCCAAAACCCACCCACAAUGAAGCCAGCUGUUACUGCAGUUAUUUUGCUGUUGACGUUCUCUGCCAUCAUCUCCACAGAGGCUCGACCUAAUGGAAACGGCGUUUGGAAUCCUGUUUUUCGUCAAGCACGGGCCGACGAAUGCGGGCCGGCAAGUGGAUCGUGUGCGCCGGGCUUGUGCUGUUCCCUUUACAACGAAUGCGGAACUUCGGUCGCCCAUUGCAACAUCUCCCUCGGCUGUAAAAUUAAGUGGGGCGAAUGUCACUAAAAGGCGCCUUCAAUUUUCAAAAUCGAGGGAGAAUUGAGUUGAUCCAUUUCGCAAUGUGUACACCCUGCUUCUGCUUCCGCCACGCUCGUU